rnacentral:lncRNA from 1 species
AGAAGCUGCUGCAGAGUAUGAAGCUACAAGGGCUGUGCUGCAGAUAAUGACUGAACAAGAGAGACAUAGAGAAAAAGUGCAAAUGCUCGAAGAAGAAGACAAACGCAUAACUGCAGAACAAGAAGCAGCCGCAGUGUCACAACGCCUCCUAGAGGAGAAAGAGGAAACUGAGCGCAAGUUUAAAAGAGAAAAGGAGAAAGUGGCUAUGAUAAAGAGACAACAAGAGGAAAAUGCUGCAAGGAGAAAGUCACUUGAGAACUUGAAAAGAGAAAUUGAAAGACUGGAAAAUCUCAAAAGAUUCAAUGCAGCGAAGGCAAAACUAGAAGUUUAUGAUGAAGACUACUUUGCAGUAAAGCAAGAAAGUUUCACUCUAAAUCCUGCAAAUGUACAGAUAUCAGAGCUCAAGAACAUUGCUCAUAUGCCCUUACAAUCACCAAGAGAGUCAAACAUCACUCAUGAGAGUACAGGUGAGCUUAUAAAGGUUUUGGCAGAAGCUAUGUCAGCUAAUAGACUACCUAUUCCAGAACCCUCAGUAUUUAGUGGGGAUCCACUUAAGUUUAAGCAUUGGAAGGCAUCCUUUCAAACUCUCAUAGAGAGAAAGAACAUUCCCACUGCAGAAAAGAUAUUCUUCCUACAGAAGUAUGUAGGUGGCACUGUUAAAGAAGCCUUAGAUGGCUAUUUCUUGAUUGGGUCUGAAGAGUCAUAUGAAGCAGCAUGGAAUAUGCUCAAUGAACGUUACGGUGAGCCUUUUGUCAUUGCUAUGGCCUUUAGGGACAAGUUACACUCCUGGCCAAAACUCACUGGUAAAGAUAGUACAGAGUUAAGAAAAUUUGUGGAUUUUUUAAAAAGCUGCCAAUCUGCAAUGAUUAAUAAUGAUAAUCUGAACAUCCUCAAUGAUGGUAUUGAGAACCAAAAACUUGCUGCUAAACUGCCAGACUGGUUAAGUAACAGAUGGAAUCGAAAAGCCACAGAGUACCAGCUGGAGCGCAGACAGUUCCCACUCUUCAGUUACUUUGUAACGUUCCUGUCAAUGGAGGCAAGUAUUGCAUGUAAUCCCAUUACAUCAUACCAAGCCAUAAGACAAAUUGACUCUGACAAACCCAAGACAAAACCU